GACGAACGCUGGCGGCGUGCUUAACACAUGCAAGUCGAACGGAGCGAAUGAAAGCUUGCUUUUAUAAGCUUAGUGGCAAACGGGUGAGUAACACGUAGGCAACCUGCCGACAGGAUGGGGACAACAUUCCGAAAGGAAUGCUAAUACCGAAUGAAGUCGAGGGAGGGCAUCCUCCUCCGAUGAAAGAUGGCCUCUAUAUAUAAGCUAUCACCUGUCGAUGGGCCUGCGUCUGAUUAGCUGGUAGGUGAGGUAACGGCUCACCUAGGCGACGAUCAGUAGCCGGUCUGAGAGGAUGAACGGCCACAUUGGGACUGAGACACGGCCCAGACUCCUACGGGAGGCAGCAGUGGGGAAUCUUCCGCAAUGGGCGCAAGCCUGACGGAGCAACGCCGCGUGAGUGAAGAAGGUCUUCGGAUCGUAAAGCUCUGUUGAUGGGGACGAACGUGCCUAAUGCGAAUAGUA
rnacentral:rRNA from 1 species